AUUAAUUCAGUCAUCAAAGAUACUCCAAGUGAGUGUUACGAUUUGUAAUAUGGAUUUCAAAGCUGCAGUCUGUUGAUGUUCAGACAGUUUAAGAGGAUUUGCUCAAUAAGCAGAGAUUUGUCUUGCAACAAGACUGUCUGGGCCACCUACAGAAGAAAGCAAGUUACACUCCUCAGAUUUGCCUUUGAAGAAUUCUAGCAACUGGCUGUCUCACACCUACCCUUGCACAUGCGUUGCUGGUUUCGUUCAGCUACAUGAUCCCUUUGCUGUAACUAGGAUGGUCUCCUCACCACCACCGGCACCAGUCUGCCUGAUUCUGAUUUUUCAUGCCAAAUGAUGUGGGAUCUGGAAAGAUGGGCGAAUAGGAAUAGCUCUGGUCUACAGCUCCCAGCAAAACCAACACAGAAGGAACUGCCAUACUUUUUUACACAGCAGCUGCACCAUUUUACAUUCCCACCAGCAAUGCACAACGGUUCUGAUUUCUCUAUGUCUUGUGAUUCCAGAGGCUGCGAGGUCUGAGAUCAAGGAUCUGACACCUGGUGAGGGCCUUUUUGCUGCAUCAUUUCACAUAGAGACAAAAAGAUUCUCACCUGUAAGCUUGAAUUAUGUCUACAUCAUGCUUGGGAAAUGUCCAUAUAUUCUAAGCUUGAAACUGCAGUGAUGAGGACGUCACCACUUCCAGAGAGAACACUUUACUACCAGGCAACUUGAGUACAAUAGGCAGCCACAAAUAUCAUCCUUGCUAGCCAGGAAUGACAAGGAGCAAGCCACAUGAGGAGUCAGAAAAGAUUAUUCCAGGCAGGGCUGAGAUCUGCAUUAUGGUCUGGAGGCUGCCCCAGUCUCUCCUUUACCUCCAUAUUUUUCUCACAGGAGUUGGUCUUACGGAAUUCACAAAUACUGUAUGCCAUUGUAUCACGUCAAGCAGUCC
rnacentral:lncRNA from 1 species